GAUGAACGCUGGCGGCGUGCCUAAUACAUGCAAGUCGAGCGAACGGACGAGAAGCUUGCUCCUCUGAUGUUAGCGGCGGACGGGUGAGUAACACGUGGAUAACCUACCUAUAAGACUGGGAUAACUUCGGGAAACCGUAGCUAAUACCGGAUAAUAUUUUGAACCGCAUGGUUCAAAAGUGAAAGACGGUCUUGCUGUCACUUAUAGAUGGAUCCGCGCUGCAUUAGCUGGUUGGUAAGGUAACGGCUUACCAAGGCAACGAUGCAUAGCCGACCUGAGAGGGUGAUCGGCCACACUGGAACUGAGACACGGUCCAGACUCCUACGGGAGGCAGCAGUAGGGAAUCUUCCGCAAUGGGCGAAAGCCUGACGGAGCAACGCCGCGUGAGUGAUGAAGGUCUUCGGAUCGUAAAACUCUGUUAUUAGGGAAGAACAUAUGUGUAAGUAACUGUGCACAUCUUGACGGUACCUAAUCAGAAAGCCACGGCUAACUACGUG
rnacentral:rRNA from 1 species